UAAGACCAAGACCAACUUCGAGUACCACAACACUGGUUCAAGGGUUUCUAAAAUAUUGUUUGAAUAAAAAGUUUGACUGGAGUAGUUUGCAGAAAUCUGCUUUGACUGAAAGCCAUGAGUUCAUCUGCUUUUUCCAAAGUUGUUUCACCUUAUUCAGAAAUAUAUUAAAAAAUAAAUACCUUUUUUCAUAAAUUAUAUAAGCUAUUCCUUUAAGGGUGCCUAUCUACCUGACCAGUCGUGAGAUUUUUUUAUAUGACUUUAUUAUUUAUCCAUCGAUCCAUAAUGUCCAGGGUUAUGUUGCAUAAAGUUUUAUUUUGUUGUCAGUCCUGAUGUCCAGAGUCUUACAAGUCUGUAGAGGCUAAAAUGCACCUUUCCUGAGGUAAAACAUGUGUUUUUAAUGGCUCAAUGGUGACUUAGGUUUCUGUCAUGAACAGUCAAUAAACAGUUGGAACUCAUAAGUUAAAAAGUGAAUUACUCCAAAACUGAAUCAAUUCCUCAUGGUGUAGCUGAUGUAUAGAAAUGACAAUCUUUUCCUCUUCCUCGAAUCUUCCAUUAACAUGACUCAUUAAUUUGCUGCAGCUUUGCAGACGAUUAAAAUGGAAUGAGCGAGGCUGAUAUUCAGUUACCCUCCCUCCUGGUUCGCAGGAUUUGACCAUGCGUAAAAUUUUCAUGAGCUUGUUUCUUUUUAUGAGUCUGCUUGUUAUGAAUAAUAGCAGUGUCCAAUUCACUUGAAGUUAUGAAAUCUGUUUCUAGCUUUACGUGACGGUCAUAUUAAAACUAUCAUUGCAGGAAAUUUAGCAAAUAUGCUGGCCUUGACUUGCUCAGCACAGACUUCAUAAAAGAACAGAUGCUGAUUUAAAGCAGGUUUCAUCACGUUGGUUGUAUUAAAGAAUUUUCAACUGGACAAAGAAGAAAACAGGAACUACUCAAAUAGCAGCCUGGCUUACCCGUGGCUCAUUGGAUGCUUCCACUCUAAUUAAUAACUUAAAGCAGAUGUCACUUGUUCUUUAUGGUGGUUAUUUAGAAAGACCUGUUUCUUUCAGCUGUUUUUCUGGUGUUUGUCUUCCGCAGAUGUACAUCCAAACAACCACACUAACCAUCUCUGUGAGCCUGAGUGCUUCAGUGUCCCUCGGGUUGCUCUACAUGCCCAAGGUCUAUGUGAUUCUUUUACACCCAGAGCAGAAUGUGCCAAAGCGCACUCGCAGCCUGAAGGCUGUGGUUACCGCCGCCACCAUGUCCAACAAGUUCAACCCCAAGGCUGGACUCAGACCCAACGGAGAGGCCAAGACUGAACUAUGCGAAAGCCUGGAAACACAAUCCUUCUCCACAAAGCAAACCUACAUCAGCUACAGCAACCAUGCAAUCUAAGGGACAAAGGUUCUUAUCUCAAUUCAAGAUUUCCACCCCGGCGGAGAAAAAAAAUACACGCAGUGGAAUUUCACAGCUGAAAAAAAAAGAAGUGUCAUUGUGUAGUGGGAGAUCACACAAGCAUUGCCCAAAGACAUGACACGCUGAGGAGAAUCCACAAAGAGGGGCGGAGAUGGACAAAAGAGACGAAGGGGACAGAUAACUGUACAAUUUUAAGGUUCCAUCUUCUGUCAACCAAGAGUACACACACGCCGUGAAAAGAAGAAAAAUAUUAACAGGACAGAGGCCUGGAGACUGAAAGAUGGAGUUUUUCUUUAGUGUUUACAUUUCAGUUAUGCCAUCUUUCAGAGACUCCUGUCAUCUUACACACUGCUGACUGGAACUGAAUCCAAAUGUACUUAGUGUUAUCUUCAAGUACUUUAAAGGCAUCAGAAGGGAUUAAUCAACACCAAAAAGGCAUGAAGACAUGAUCCAUGGACUUCUAAAACAGGCUUCUGUUUGUUUUUAUUCAUAAUACAUUCCAGUCUUAUGACUCAGAUGACUGGGAACGGGGAUCAUCUCAACAAUGCAGCAGAUCUGUACCAGACUACAUGUGUUUUUCUGUCCUCUUUCAGGGUCCAACUGAGUUAAGAAGGACCACGCUUAUAUAAGAGGAUAUUUGCCGUUUUUGAGCAUGCCAGUUUCAACAUCCUGUAUUGUGUUGUUUACCAAAUAAACUAAGGAAAAAAUGAAGGAGAAGAAAAAAAUACAAUAUCUUUGGAAUGCUUUUAAACUUUGUUGCAGCGUUGUUAAAAUUGUUUAGGCACGAGCCUACUGUGCGUUCAAAAAUCUGUUCUCAAUUGGUGAAAAGGUCUAGUGAGUGAUUGUUUAUCUGUGCUUAAGUGAGAUCAUGAUUUGUAUUAACAGCUAGCCUAAAAGGCUGCCACUGCCCUCCUCAUACCUGUAUGUACUUUGAAACGGUGGACCGUGGUUGGUGUUUUAGCCGUGGGGAUCUCACUGUGAGCCGUCAUCCAGGAUGACCCUUCCAUCACUGCCAUCAGUUACCCUCCCGGUCACAUGAGAAAACGUAAGGCUGAAGCGUAGCUGUACAGAUCCAUUAGCAAGGGAAUUAAGAUGAAGUGCGCCCUUGAGGAGAUCGUACAGCUUGCCCUGAGGAUGAUAUCCAUAAUGGGCCGGCUAGAGAGAAAAUUCAUUACUGUACAUGUCCUCUUCUGGCACUCAUGAUAAGGGGGAGGGGUAAGGAAGUUGUAAAGCUUUUCAACAAAUGAAAAUCAAAUUGCAAAAGAUAUGCUAUAUCUCUAUCAAUCCACCCCCAGCUCGCUGAAUACAUUAAUAUUUGGCUUUGUGCAGUAUAAAAGCCCUCUGAUGUCUUGGGGAAAAUGUUGUGGGGUCAUUUGUGUUGUGAGUUCAGUGCUGCUUCUCAUGCCUCCCUCUUUAUUACUUUCAACACCAUUUGUGUUGCAGAAUAAAAUGUGAGUGCUGACCAAAUUAAAUGGCAAGUUAAUGUAUGUUAUUAAAUAGAUUGAUGAUGUCUGCUUUAUGUCCUGACAUAUCCUAAAAUUGAGGAAAAUUUACAAAAAGAUGCAGUGCCUGGCUAUAUGACUAUGUAUUUGUAAAACCUCAAGAAAACUUAAGAAGUGUGUGAAGCAUGUUUAGUUUUUUUUAUACAAAAUUUAUUAUUUCUAUUAAAAAUGUUUUACAACAUCUGCGUCCAAUUUUAGGAUUUUGUCUAUGAAAAAACUGGUUUGUGUUUCUGUUUAUUUGAUCAGUUGGGUGAAAUAAAUCUCUUCAUUUUGCAAGGAAAAAAAAGGAAAACAAUGUCAGCAAUUGCCUGAAAAAUAUAUUUUAUAGCAGGAGCUCGGAUAAAGGCACUAGAAAAUGGUGACUCAGAGGAAGGAAACAUGAAAUUAUUUUAAAUCAAGGCUUAGCCGUGCUUAAAUCUGAGGUCUUUGAAGGCAGCAUGCUUGCCGGCGUCAUCAUCUUCCUGCCUUUCCUUACAAAAGGAUUGAAAAUAACAGUUGUUACAUAGCAAGUGUGUUAAAUGCAUGUCCAAAGUGCACAAUUACAACAAUAUACAUGGGGGAGUGUACAUUAUCCUCCCACAACACAAUGGAGAGACAGUGGAGGGUAACCUCAUGAGAUUACAGGGUUUUGCAUAAUACACCAUCACGACUCCUGUAUUCUGCAUGUUUUGAACAAUGUGUUUUAACAAAUUUAACACCAAUCUAUUCUGCAUAAAACAUAUAGAUCUAGAUCAUCUGUCCUGAUAAAGUCAAAACAUUAGUCAGUUUAAAAUAAAACUUAUAUUUUAGUGUCAGAAAACACACAAGGAAAGUCUGAAACAUGAAUAAAUCAAACUUGACCUUUUACAGAAAGAGCCCUUUAAGAUAAUGUCAAAACCAGGUGCGUGCAUUUCUAAGUGAAUGAUGACUUAACAUGCGUGAUUGAUCUGUCCGGAUUUCAAUAUCUAUAGUUAUGUUCACACAAUAGCUUUUUCUUGGCAUAAAAAGUAAUUUUCAAACAGGAAUGUGUCCAUUGGCAACCCCAAAAAGAGAUGCAGGAAAUGUAAGUGAGCUCUGUGGAAGCUACAGUAACUGGUAAAGAAGUUGGAUCUCUUCCAACUUCCAAAUAAUAUCUUGAUUCAGAAAAAAAACAUUUUACUCUCGGAUUAUGAAAUAAUAUGAAUCUUGCAUUUAAGGG